UACGUAGGGACCAAGCGUUGUUCGGAUUUACUGGGCGUAAAGGGCGCGUAGGCGGCUUGACAAGUCACUUGUGAAAUCUCCGGGCUUAACUCGGAACGGCCAAGUGAAACUGUCAUGCUAGAGUGCAGAAGGGGCAAUCGGAAUUCUUGGUGUAGCGGUGAAAUGCGUAGAUAUCAAGAGGAACACCUGCGGCGAAGGCGGGUUGCUGGGCUGAUACUGACGCUGAGGCGCGAAAGCCAGGGGAGCGAACGGG
rnacentral:rRNA from 1 species